rnacentral:rRNA from 1 species
UACGUAGGGUGCAAGCGUUAAUCGGAAUUACUGGGCGUAAAGCGUGCGCAGGCGGUGAUGUAAGACAGAUGUGAAAUCCCCGGGCUCAACCUGGGAACUGCAUUUGUGACUGCAUUGCUGGAGUGCGGCAGAGGGGGAUGGAAUUCCGCGUGUAGCAGUGAAAUGCGUAGAUAUGCGGAGGAACACCGAUGGCGAAGGCAAUCCCCUGGGCCUGCGCGAUGACGCUCAUGCACGAAAGCGUGGGGAGCAAACAGG